GACGAACGCUGGCGGCGUGCUUAACACAUGCAAGUCGAACGGUGAAGCGCCUUCCUUUUUGGUGGGUGUGGAUGAGUGGCGAACGGGUGAGUAACACGUGAGUAACCUGCCCCCUUCUUCUGGAUAACCGCAUGAAAGUGUGGCUAAUACGGGAUAUUCUGGGUCUGUCGCAUGAUGGGUCUGGGAAAGAUAUUGUUUCGGUGGGAGAUGGGCUCGCGGCCUAUCAGCUUGUUGGUGGGGUGAUGGCCUACCAAGGCGGUGACGGGUAGCCGGCCUGAGAGGGUGGACGGUCACACUGGGACUGAGACACGGCCCAGACUCCUACGGGAGGCAGCAGUGGGGAAUAUUGCACAAUGGGCGCAAGCCUGAUGCAGCGACGCCGCGUGAGGGAUGGAGGCCUUCGGGUUGUGAACCUCUUUCGCCAGUGAAGCAGGCCUGCCUCGUUUGUGGGUGGGUUGACGGUAGCUGGAUAAGAAGCGCCGGCUAACUACGU
rnacentral:rRNA from 1 species